UACAGAGGGUGCAAGCGUUGUUCGGAAUUAUUGGGCGUAAAGGGCGCGUAGGCGGUGCGGUAAGUCUGUAGUGAAAUCUCCUGGGCUCAACUCAGAGUCUGCUGCAGAAACUGCCGUGCUUGAGUGUGGGAGAGGUGAGUGGAAUUCCCGGUGUAGCGGUGAAAUGCGCAGAUAUCGGGAGGAACACCUAUGGCGAAGGCAGCUCGCUGGGACGUUAACUGACGCUGGAGACGCGAAAGCGUGGGGAGCAAACAGG
rnacentral:rRNA from 1 species